CCGGCCGGUCUGGGCCGCGGGGCCGAGCCGCCGGCCAGGGGAGCCCGGGAAAGCGGGGUGUGGUGGGGGGGUAGAGAGGUUUGAUGCCGCUCCUCCGCUUCCCGCUCGUUCUCGGGCGCUGCAGAAGGGCCUUUGCGGGGUGACGACCGCUCGCCGCCUCCCGGCGUAGUCGAGCUUCCCUCGCUCACGGCCCGCAGAGCCUUCGUAUGUAAUUCACCGCUGUGCCACUCACUGUACGUGGGCCCAGCAGAAGCUGUCAGGGGAGCCGGCAGGAGACGAGGGUCGGGUGUGAACGGGAACUUCUGUAACCAAAGGCACGGAGCUGCCGCAGCGCGCUGGGGGACGAAGUGCCCCCCCCCCGCCAAGGACGGCCGUCCCUUCGUCCUGCCCGUGCGCGGCGGCUCCGGGCCGCGUGUGGGAGCCCUCAGGAGUGGGGAACCGGCACCCGUCAAUAACGCCCCAAAGAGCCCUGAUGCCUUCAGGUUUGCCUCACUGUGGGUGCCCCAGCCCUGGAGGCGCUCAAGGCCAGCUUGGAUGUGGCGCUGGGCAGCCUGAGCUGGUGGGUGGCAGCCCUGCGUGUGGCAAGAGGGUUGCAGCUUAACAUCCCGUCCAACCUAAGGUGCAGAUCCAGUCUGUGGCAAGGUGAGAGCUCACCCUGCAAACAUCCACCUAAUUGUGCUUACGGCCAGCCUCGACCGCAACACAAAGCGCUGAUUUCCUCUAGUUCGCUGGAUGCUUUGGAAACCCGAGGACGGCGAGGAAGCCGAGUGUAUGUAAAUGUGAUUGCAGAGCGAGGUUUCUAAUUGUCUUUCUGAUUAUUUGGUCUUUUAAACUGCUCGAUGUGGUGUUUAAGCAACCCACAGCCGUUCAGAUCGCAGCGGGCUUUUAACACUGCGUGAUUCUGGUGGGUGCUUAAGGGAAACGGAUCCGGGAGCAGCCCCUGACACCGGCCGCCUCCAUCAGGUUUCAAGCCUCUGCAAGAUCCUGACUGCUAGGGAACAAAGGCUGGUAUGCGGUUCCCUCAAAGGUCAGUCAUUAACCUGCCCCAACAACAGUUUUAGGAAGAUCAAGGCAAUGAAGAAAAAAAAAUAUACAAGAAAAAGCACUUUCACUUCGGAAUGAAUUGUUGAAAGUGCCCUUAUACAUUCAGUUUUAUUCCCUUUCAGCUCCGCACUUUUUAGUUCCUGCACGUAUUUAUUUCUCAUCAGGAAUAAUGGCAAGAUUUGCUCUCCCAGAGAUUUGACCUUAAGUUUAUUCUACCCACAACACUAUAGACCAUUUCAUCAAUUAUGAAUGUACCCAUGUGUAUAGAGGAACUGGUAAGCCAGCUCAGUAAUACUACCUUGUUCUGGAGACUUACCCUUAUAAAUAAAUUAGGGGCAUAUCUUUAUGAAAAACCAAAGACAGAGAGAAAGAAAGACUGAAAGCAAGAGAGCAAGAAAGACUGAAAGCAAGUAAGACAGAAAGCAAGCAAGAAAGCAAGGAAGGGAGAAAGAAAGAAAGGAAGGAAGGAAAAUCUAGAAAGCCACAUUUUUUUUAAGAUAAAAGGGCAGUGGCUAGCAUCAAAAGUGUUUUCUCUGUGAUUUGUAUUUUGAAUGUCUGUGUGUCUAUAUAAAGAGAUAAAAUGCUGGAUAUGCAGUAGCCAGACUAUCAAUAAGACAGUUAUUUCCAUAAGUUAUUGAUGACCCUUUAGCUCACAAGUGACAGGCCAAAGUAGAGCCAUGAGCAACUUAUGAAAGGUCAUCAAUAACAACUGAAAAUAAAUGUUGUGUCCAGUGCAUGCCCACUGUGUGUCCUGUUUAUACAAAGCCAGUGUAAGUUUCUUGUGGCGUAGUUUUUAAUAAGCUGUAACAACCUUAGUCCCUGCCUGAAGCAGCGAGGUUUUCCGGCAGCAGAGGAAGGAGGAGGUGCACACAUUCCCAUGAGGCUGCUCACACUCCUCAUGAGUACUUUUUGUCAGAUGCAAAGGUAAAAGCUUGCAUCUCUCAGCACACCAGGAUGAAACAGGACCCUGGGGAGUGAAAGGAGAGACCACGCGCAUCACUAAAACAUUAAACACUGUGGACAAUCCUGGUGCUGCAGUGUAAGACUGCUCAGAAGUAAGAAGAUACAGAGGAGUCAGGGAGAGGAAAAAGGAGAAGCUGAGACGCAGGGUUGUAAAUAAAUCAUACCCUGUGUUAAGAUUGCAAAUACAUAAUAUGCUAUUAAGGUAUUUCUAAUAGUAAUCUGUAUCAUGCUGCAAGGAGGAUUGAUGCACUGUGUGUGGUAAGAACAUUCUGGAGGCAAAAGAAAGAUCUUUCUGUCUACCUGGAGUCUUACUCCCCAUGGAAAGGCUGCAAUGGGCACCGGAUGCGGUCCAGUGGGGAACAAACACUUAGUUUUACCUGCUUGUUGGCAGAUUUUGCUUUCAGUACCAUCAUCCUGAAACUCACUGAUGUUUAAUUAAAGUUCUAUGUUUAAAAA
ensembl:lncRNA